ACAGCGCAGCGGACAAUGGAAAUAUGCUCCUGCCUUGCCUCUCCUUCUCCUACGUCCUCAAAAAAAAGAUAGAAAAAGGGAAGAAGUGUUCCUUGGGAGAAUUUCAAUGGGUAGGUUUCUAGAGCGACACCAUGUCUAAUUACAGACAAGGUAGGAAUGAAAGGCUGUAGGCCUCUCUCUCGCUUUCUCUCUCUCCAGGUCAGGAGGAGGCUGGUGGAGGGGGAGAGAGAGAGAUGUCCUCCGAAUAAGAAAUGAACAGACUGACCUUUUCAGAGCUGCUGAAAGAGAAAACCAGAUGUAUUCCUCAAGAGUCACUAUGACUGAAGGGUGAUAAAGACUUUCAUUGUGCACUUGAAUAAAAGGAAAGCUAACCAGAAAACAGCAGCUGAUAAUAGUCAGGCCAGGCUGCGCUAUUGUGCAAGCCACAACUGUUCCCGCCUUGGCCUAGACCACCACGGCUUGCCUGAAGACUAGGUUGUAAAGAAAACGGGCUCCCCUUCCCCCCUCGGCCCUGCCCUCUCCUAAGAGAGGUUUUCAAGAAAGUACUAGCAAUUAUACAAGCAUCUAUCGAUGCUUCCCUGCAGUUUUAAAGAGCUUUGCAGGGAUCUCCAGCUUGCUUUUUUUUAUAAAAAAAAAAGGUUCUGUGAAGCCUCAGUUCUGAAAUUCUCCAGGCCCCCAAGUCAAGCUGUGGUAGUGAGUACUUUUCAUUUUUAAUUUUCGGCCAUGCUAAUCCACCCAGAGAUCCCCGCGUGUUGCGCUUGCGUCUGCCACCUCUGUGAGUUUUAACAUUUCGGGUGACCGGGAAGAAAAACGGUUCAAGGAUGGAGUCCAUUGGUUCAGAAGGAGAAGGGGAGCCUCUGUGAGUUGAGACAAUGCAACACAAAGAGAAAAACGUGUUUGGAAGGAAGGGCACGAGCGAUUGGUGCAUAGACAGGGCUGCACGACUUUUUGACGCAGGACUGUUGUCAGUGGAAAGUAUGGAGCGGUUAGCAUCAAAAGGGGCAGAAGAUGGCAGGCACAAGGCUGCUAAUGGAAGUUAAAAGGAGGCAGGAUGAACGUUGCUGCCUUUGGGUGCUUGCUGUGAGACAGAAGGCACAUCUGAAGCUCUAUUAUUGCUCUUGCUUUCCUGGAUUCCACCAUGUUUGUUUUUCUCCAGAAGAAGACAUCUUCCCUGGUCCCCUCCCCAGCUAGCAUUGGUCAUAGCUGAAGGUGAGGCUAUCAGAGGGAGAUAGGUCCCAUAUCUGAGGCCCAACCCAAUGGGAGGUGAAUUGUGCCUUUGCAUUUAACUGACACUUCUUUGAAAACUAUUUCAUUUAUUUAUUCCAUUUGCAAUACAGGUGGUGACCAUUUUAGAUGCAUGGUGUUAUGUAUUAAGAUUAACUGCAGUUCUCACUCAGGGCCACCAGUAUGCAAAUGAAGGGUUGAGAACUGUCGCUCACUGAUUGGUUACUUAGUUGGAAGUUGUUACUGUUACAAGUUGCUUAAUAUUACAUAAAACAGCCAGCUAGGCUGCAGUGUGUCAGACUCCAGGAGCAGUUCUAACUGCUGUGAUAAAGAGCUGUGAAUCUAACAGAGCUGUGUUCUUCAUCCAUCUUUCCCACUAUUUAAUACAUUCCAAUUGAUGUGUGAUCACCAAUGUGUGGGUCCUUUCGAACCCGGAAGAGUGGGGGACGGGGCGGAGUGUAACAGGGCAGGGGCGCUUAUGCACACGGACCGGGAACAGAACUCCCAUGCGAAAUGGUUACCACCUGUAUAAAUACACAAAAAUACCAUAGAAACAAACACAAUAAGUCCUCCCCCCUACACACAGUUUCAAAGGCCUGGGAGAAGAGGAAUGUUUUUGCCCGGCACCUAAAGAUAUGAAGGGACACAGGUAGCGCUGUGGGUUAAACCACAGAGCCUAGGACUUGCUGAUCAGAAGGUCAGCGGUUCGAAUCCCCGCGACGGGGUGAGCUCCUGUUGCUCAGUCCGUGCUCCUGCCAACCUAGCAGUUCGAAAGCAUGUCAAAGUGCAAGUAGAUAAAUAGGUACCACUCCGUUGGAAAGAUAAACAGCGUUUCCGUGCGCUGCUCUGGUUCACCAGAAGCAGCUUAGUCAUGCUGGCCACAUGACCUGGAAGCUGUACGCCGGCUCCCUCGGCCAAUAAAGCGAGAUGAGUGCCGCAACCCCAGAGUCGGUCACGACUGGACCUAAUAGUCAGGGGUCCCUUCACCUUUAAAGAUAUGUAAUGAAGGCGCCAGGUGAGUCUCCCCGGGGAGAGCAUUCAGCAAAUGGGGAGCCACAGAAGAAAAGGCCCCUUCUAUCGUUGCCGCUUUCUGGACCUCUUGUAGAGGGAGCACGUGAAGAAGGGCCUCAGCUGAUGAUCACAGGGUCCUGGUCAGUUCAUAUGGGGUGAGGCGGUGCAGCUACAUUUUUCUGUGGGGAAGUCUGCUUGUUUUCACCCCCACCCACUCCUGUCUUUCAAAUUCUGCCUUAGCCAAGAGGAUUUAAAACAAACUGAACAAAUGAGGAUGAAGAGCAAAGGUGACGUGGACAGAAGAUGGUUACCUUUUCCUCCUAUUCUGUGGUCCUGGGGAAAACCUCUCCUCUGAAGCUAGUAUCUGCAUUUGGCAGGGAAACUGUAUUGACAACAAAUCCCACUGCUGCAAAAAAUCAUCAGCCCUUCCUCAGAGAAUGCUGCAUGAUUUAUUUAUUUUUCUUUCCUAAAACGUGUGCACUAAAUACCAUGACACAUUUAACACCAUGUCUGGUUUGGUCCUGAGGCCAUCAGACUGUGGGGGAGGAUGCAACCCAGCAGCCACCCAUUAUGACACUGGCCACCAGGUUCACAAGAAGCUGCUGCUGUCAUGCUUCCAUUUUCCAGUUUGAGAGUUGGGCUCAUGUACCCUGCUCCCCAUUUAUCUCAUUUCAGGGGAUGAAUAUACUUUGGAAGGGGUGCAUGUGAAGAAGCAACUGUGCUGUACUGUUCUCAAGUCUUGAAUGAAUAUUGGUUGGACCUGGGGAGCAUUGGAGGGGUUUGGGUAUUUGGGCAAUAUAUGGAAGAAGUUUAUUGGGAGGAAGAUACUAGACUGGAGUUCUUAUUUUAAAACAGGUGGUCAAGAGAGUGGAAGAGGCAGCUUCAGGAAGGAUGAAGAAAUGGUAUGAAAAAUCAGUUUGAGAAAACAUUAAAAUAUUGCAAACCUCCAAGCUUUGGGUAUUAAGGCAGCUUAAAUAAAUAAAUAUCUGACAUGGCAGAACUUCUCAAAAGUAGCAUGUGUCAAAUGUGACUUCACCAUCUUAGAUUGGCAUCCGUUGGAGCUGGUUAUUUUUAGAAUUGGCAAGAUAAGCGUCUUUCCAUCCAUCUCCAUGUGGAGGUCUAUUCUAGCUUUGUGAUCAUAGCAACAAGGAAAUAUUCACAUAUUUCAAGUUGUGUAUUUUAUAUUAUAGAAAUAAAUAAUAUAGUGGCCAGGGAUGCAAGAGGACACUUGAUUUUAUAAAGUUGUUACUUGGUUAUAUACAUUCCGUGAAUCGUUUGUUGAAUGAAACUUUUCCUAAACUGUGCUAGUUUAAGCUGCAGGUGACAGAAACAUAAUUCUGAUUGCUCCUGGCCAUCAAUCCCUACACAGUACAUGUGAAGGAAGAAGCUGGGCUGAACUCUUCUUCCUGACACGCUAGUUUUCCACACACAGGAAAGGUCAUGUUCUAAAGUACAUCGUUCACACAGAUCAGACCUUGACCCAGGUCUACUAAGCCUCAACAUCACCCCAUGAAGACUGAAUAAACAUCAUAGAGGGAGAUUAUAGUGGGAGAUAAGAUGAAUUUAAAAAAAUGAUUCCGUUAUUAACCUGUAACCCCAGGGUUUCCUUGCAGAUAGUUUGAGAACCACCAGGUUGGCACACUGAGAAUUACAAGACAGAUGCAAAUAAUUCAUUGUGCUGCUCUGCAAUCUCCUUAUCCUCCUUAAGCACACAUUUUACUCCCUUCUCAUCCAUGGUUCCAAUUGUCACUCAAGAUGGUAUACUGCAAUUAAUAUAUUUUUUAUAAUUAUGGUUUGCCUUAAUCUUUUGAGUAAUGUG
rnacentral:lncRNA from 1 species